UUAUUAAUUACAAAAUUAAUCAAUAGUAUUAAUUUAAAUAAAAUAUUUUAAAUUUUUAGAAAGAUUUUACUAGAUUUUUUCUUAACAUUUUGUUAUAACUAAAAAUAAAUUUAAAUUUACAGUUAAAAUUGAUUUAUUAUUAAUAUCUUUAUAUAUUUAAUAGAUUAAUGUAAAUAAUUAAAUAAAUAUAAUUAGUGAAAUGGACCUAAUACGGCUAGUAAGACUUUUUAUGGUAGAUAAAAAUGGUACUUUUCCUUUAAUAGAGUAGAUGCUUAAUUUAAUCAUACUUAAGCCAACAAUACUGUUUUGCUAUGUUAUAAAAAUUAAGUUAUGUAUAAACUAUUCUAAGCCGACGUCCAAUAUCAAUUAGGAUCGAAGUCCGGUGUCUAAACCUGUCAAACCCUGUAAAUUACCAAAUUUUUAGUUAUAUAAGUCCAAAAAAUGGAGUUUUCAAACUACGCUUGUUUAAGCUUUAUGUAUUUUAAGAUAGUAUUAUUCUUUGAAUUAAAACCAUAUUUGAUAUUUAUAUUAUGUUUGAUUAUUCUUGAUACAAUCACUAACAAAGCAAAUAUGAAAGUGCGAAUAUAUUUUAUUGAUUGUUACAAGAAUCACAUUUUAAAUUAGACAAAUGUGUAUUUUUCAUGAAGAAUAUGUUUCAAAAAAUACAAAGUGUGAUGUUUGACUGGGUUUAAUAUGAAUUUUAUUGUCCAGUAUAAUUAGUUUUAAAUUUACAUUUUACUAUUUAAAUUUGUUAAAUUUGGUUUGUUUAUAAUAUGGUUGCAAACCGCAUGAAAACCACUAUUGUUAAAGCAAAAAAAAUUAAACUAAUUUUUGAAGAUGAUGAUUUUUCGGUUUAGCGAUCGCUUUGGAGUAAAAAUUUUGUUUUAAAAUAAUUGUCGUUUUAUAAUUUCAGUGUAGAAUUUUUAACUUUAUAUUCUAAUAUAAUUUUUAUUGGUUGAAAUGUAGUUAGAUGUGUUGAUACUUAUAUUUUAUUUAAUAAAUAUAUAAAAUUAAAUAUUUUUUUUAAUUUGUGGGUUUAAUGCUAAAAACUUUUUAAAAUAUUAAAUAUAUAUAAUUAAAUAUAUUUUUUAAUUAAAAGGAAACGGAUGGGGUAUUUAAUAGAAACUUUUUUAAAAAAAUAAAAAUUUAAAUAUACUAAAAUAUAAUGUAAAAACUUGGAUAUCUUUUAACCAACGAUAAUGCAACGGUUUUGAACGACCGACAAAUCCCUUUUUAUCCCCAAUAAUUGUUCAAACCGACAACUCUGGUUUGACUUUUUUGUAUCCUUUCGGAAAUUGACAGUUUAGUUUCACAAACUCUACAACUUGGAUAGCGUUAGAGCACCCGCAAAUGGGGUUUUAGCAUUGGAGUUCUAUAUGUAUAUAUAAGUAUCUGUCUUAUUAAAAUAGAAGUAUACUUAUAAAUUAAUCCUUAGUUUUUUAAUUUAUUUACAUUUCAAUGUCAUUGAAGUAAUAAAUUUACCUACCUUUUAGUAUUCUUGUCUUUUAUAAUUUAAUGAAUGUAUUUUUCUAAAAUGAAAUACAACAAAUUAUGUGCUAUUUAUUUAAGAAAUAUUUCCUAUAAUCAAGUUAAAUAAUAAAUUAGACUUAAUCAAUACCAAAAAUGUAACAAAAUGUAACAAAAUUUUCAUUAUAUGAACUGGUUAUUUUUUAUUUUAGUACAUUAACUAUGUCUAAAAAAUAUAGAAGAUGUUAUAAGAAAUAAAUAAUAUAAAACAUACAAAAUUAUAAAUAAUAUAUAUUCGAUUAUUUGAUCGUAAUAAUCAAAUAUAACCAUAGACAAUAUUUUUAUUUUACCUAAAUUUUUGAUCCAUAAAAAAUACAUUUACACCAACACACCUGUCAUAUUUUAAAAAUAUGGGUGUAAUAAUUGACGGAUCAAAAAAUAAAAUAAAUUUAUUCACUAUAAAUUUUAAAAUUUAUGGGUUUAAAAAUAUAUUAAACAAUUAUUUAACACAUAUAAACUUUAUAAAUAUAUAUUACCAUUUAUAUAAGAUAAUUUAAAAAAAAGAAUACCCGCGCAGGUGCCGGGUCAAGUUCUAGUUAGUCUUUAACUAUAAGUAUCUAAAUUUCAUAGAAAAUCCAAUCCAAGAUAUCUUAAUAUUUGUAUUUGUAUAUGUAUUUUUAGACUCCGGAUGCUAGAAUCUCCAUUGGGGAUAAGGACGAGCAAAUUAGUAGUCGCGGAUUAGGAAUUUUGGGAUUAACUAUGGUAUUUUUUCUGUUGGAAUCACCUAUGGUAGGCCUAGACUAACCAAGUGGAAGUGCAGCUACGGAUAAAACUCCUUUCUGGAUAUAUAAAUGGGCCGCAACCAGAGGUCCAUAUCUGUGUAAAUCUCCAUGAACAAUAUGAUUUAGUUUCGUGCAACAGGUGAGAACGAACUUGAAACAUGUUACCGUCCUAAACUUUUUCUUUUACCACUCGACCACAAAGCUCCAUACUAGUUUUUCCUAGCUUAUUUUGAUUAAAUAUAUUAAAGUUAUUGAAUUCAUAUAUUUUUAAUCUAAUUAAGAAGCCAUCAGUUACAUAAUGUAUUGUAUAACAAUUAAAUUCAUAUUAAAUAAAUUUUUAGAAAUUUAAAUUAUUGUAUAUUUUGAAGAAUUUUGAUCUAAGUCAAAAUAAUCUUAGUUCUUGUGUUAAAAACACUGAAAAUUAAUUUUGAAAAAAAUCAAUAAAAUAAAAUUUGUAUAAUCAGUUAAAUUAGAAAUUUUUCUAAGACUUGUUAUCAUAUUAGUUUUAAUUUUUUUUUAAAAAAUAAUUUAUUUUGAUUUAUAUUUUGCUAAGUAACUAAAUUUAGUUAUUUCUUAUUUUUGGAUUUUUUUCAAAAAAAAAUAUUAAUAUCGUUAAGAUUGAACAUGUUAUAUAAUGUUAGCAAUGUCGUAUUUUUACUAACCCAUGUCAGCUUUUUUUUUAUACCAAUUGAAUGUGGUGAUGAUGUAUAAAUAUUUUCUUUUUAAAUCAUUUUUAGAUAAUUUUUAAGAAUUCAUUCUCAUUCAUAAAUAAUGCAAUUUUAAGUUUUUUUAAAAGUGUUAUUUUAUAUUUUCUAUACAACUUUAUAUAUCUCAUAUGUUUUUGUAUUUUUUCAUAACUAAUAUAUUUUAUUUAAUUAAUCAUAUAUUGAAUAGAUGUAUAUUAGUAUAUGUUUAAAAUUUUAAAAUUUUCAUGAAAUGUUUCGAAACAACACUAUUUGCAAAACAAAGAGAUUAUAAACUAUAACAUAAUUAAAAUAUUUUGUUUAUGGUUGUGUUUCUCUUGACCGGCAUAUUUUUAAAGGGAAAUUGGACUGUAUGACGCUACAAUAAUGCAUAAUUAGGUUGAUAGACAAUUACCCUAGCUUUUCGAUAUACCGAUGCAAUUUUAUGUAAUAUUGUUGUUUUGUCCCUAACCCCGACCGACUGAACCUGCUGAAAUGAAAAUUAAAAAUUUUUAAUUUGAAACUGUAGAAAGUAAGUCGUGGCCUAUUAGCAUCACAUUAUCUCUUUUAACUUGCUUUCGUAACUUUUGAGAAAGUGAAAAGUUGAUGUCAACGGUUUACUCACCUUUUUCCAACCCACCGAUUUCCUCUCAACAGUCGCUACUGACGGCAUCCUCUGCGUUUCUUCGACUCCUCGAAGUGUGUUGCAAAAGGGAAAUGAUCUCUGCUUGUGAAAUUGAUUGCGAGAAGAGUUCGUAAGUGUGAUAGUGUGAACGACAACCAGAGCCUCAUCUCCUUCAUAUCGGCGAUUAAGUUGAGAUUUGUUGCAAUAUUGUAAGUUCUCCGUUUUGUGCCACAGAUUCUAUUAUUUCAAUGUUAUUUCCUCUAUUUGGAAUAGAUCCAGCCUUAGUCUAUUCUAAGUUGAUAAAUCUAAACCAUCGUUUCUGUUGCAUGUCCGAUCUGGUAAGUUGAGGUAAACAAAUUGAUUUAGGUUUGAACUUUUCUCGGUUCGUCGUACUCAUUUAUUUACUGCGAAGGGGGAUAGUGAUUAUGGAAUGAAAAGUCCCUUUUGCGAUAAAACAAGUUUAGUUCUCUUUGAAAUGGUAUAUCCUAUGGAAAAUAUGCUAUUUGAAAUGGAAAAUCUUAGUUUUAGAGACUGGUUACAUGCCAUUCUAUUUCUCUGCUAUUUCUGAAGAAUCGUAUCGGAACUAAUAUCCAUUCCAUCUGACCAUUUGUUCUGUUCCAUAUAUAUAAAUUAUAUAUUAUAUCAGAUGAAUUGCAUAUGUUACUCAUUUACUCGUAUAGGUGAUUUGGGAUUGACACAACUAAACAUUUAAAUUAAGCAUAACAUAAUUCAUAUACUAGUAGCCUAUCUCAUAUACUGCCAUUUUCUUCCAACUUGUAAACAACGGGUGUCUUCAUUUUCAUUUUGUUCUUUAGGUUUGUCAUGAAUGAGUUGAAAGAGUAAUAGUAUUUCUAUACUAUUUUAUGAAAUGGAACAAACUGUAUUUCUUUCAAAUUAGGCUCUUCUCUUAUUUGCCAUGUUUAUUAAUAUAUAAUGUACUACUUAGUAAGUUAUAUUUUAUUUGAUGCUUGAAAGAGAGGGUUUAAUUUUGUUCGCUGUUGUUUCAUAUUCUAUUGAUAUGAGUUUUGUAUUGGUAUAUACAUGUGUUUUAUAUUAGUUUGUAUAUGAUUUUGUGAAGAGAAAUAUUAUAUUGAACGUAAAUGGAAUAGAAUUUAUUAUGACAUCAAAUAGAAAAAGAAUACAAUGUGAUAUUGAAUGGGAAUGAUAUUCAUAUGAUGUUGUCUCUUCCACCUCUUUUCUCUAAUGCCGUCAAUAUUCAUUUCUAUUCGCUACAAUCAAUCUGAAUUUGGGGUAAGCAUUACCUCUUUCCCUAUAGACACUUCAAAAUUUGAACAAUAUAUAUGUACUAUGCUAUAUCGUUUGUUACCUUUUCUAUUAUAUAUGCUCAUGUAGAAUGAAAAUGCAUGUUACUUGCAUUGGGUUUAGUUUAUGAAAGAUUGAGUUUGACAUUGGAUUAAUGUAUGUAUUUUUGUGUAUGGUUUAGUGAUUAGUUGAUAGGGUUUAGUUUAUGUAUGAUUGGGGUUGACAUUGUUGCAAGCAUUACCACCUUCCAUGAAGGCAUAUCUAUAUCAACAUUGUGAAAUAUGUUAAAAUGAUUUUUAGAUUGCAACUACAUUUUCACAUUUUCUAUUUUAUAUGUCUCAUGUAGAAUGGUAAUGCAUCUUACUUGCAUUUCGAAAUUUGGAUUUAAUUUAUGAAAAUUGGGGUUGACAUUGGAUUAGGGUUGACUAUCGUUACAUGUUUUUGAACCUGUAAAAAUUGUACUAUAACCUAUAUCGUAUAGUUUAAUAUUACAUAAUAUAAUUUAAUAUUAUAUAAUAUUACGUAUUUUUAGAUUUUGAUAUUUGGGUUUAGGAUUCAUAUUUAGAUUAAGGUUUAGUGAUUAGAAUUUAUGGUUUAGUAUUAAAAGGUGAAGGAAUAUGGUUGGGAUCAUCAUUAAUUUCUUUCAUGUAAUCAUAGAUUUUUUAUAAUUUCACUAAUAUGUACUAUGUUAUUUAUUUUGUUCUAUUAUGUUUGGGUUAGAGUUUAUAUUUGGGUUCAUGGUUUAUAUUUGGAUAAGAGGUUAGUGAUUAUAAUUUAGGGUUUAGUAUUUAGAAUGUGAGGAAUAUCGUUGAGGUCAACAUUAACUUGUUCCAUGCAAGCAUAGAUAUUUCAUAAUUUUACCAAUAUGUACUAUGUUGUUUAUUUUGUUCUAUUCUAUUUGGGUUAGAGUUUAUAUUUGGGUUUAGAGUUUAUAUUUGGGUAAGAGUUUAGUGAUUAUAAUUUUGGGUUUAAUAUUUUGAAGGUGAGAGGAUAUGGUUAGGAUCAACAUUAACUUCCUCCAUGCAAUCAUAGACAUUUUAUAAUUUUACCAAUAUGUAUUUUGUUAUUUAUUUUGUUCUAUUCUAUUUGGGUUAGAAUUUGUAUUUGAGUUUAGUGUUUAUAUUUGGGUAAGGGUUUAGUGAUUAUAAUUUAAGAUUUAGUAUUUAGGGAUUGAGGUGUGAUUGGGACAAUGUUUAGUAUCUAGGGUUUAGGGUUGGGAUAUGUUUAAUAUUACAUGUUGUAGGUGAAGUUAUAAUUCUACACUACUUCAGUUUAUGGAAUAGAAUAUUUGGUGUACAUAUAUGUGAGUAAUAACAUGUGGAUGACUCCUUCUUUCUAAUGAAAUAUUUUUAUACAUACUUGAUCAUGUAUUACAUAGACUACGUGGACACACAAAACAUAUUUUUAUCGGAUAAUGACAGAGAAAGGGUAUAACCGGAUGAAAUAUGGUGUAAAUGUUAGUUUUCGUCAAAAUCAUUAUCACUCACUUUAUUUAUUGGCAUAUACACCCCUUUUUAAACAUCUUUAUUUAUUUAUUUUUCUGUUUUUGUAUGACAACUAAAAUUUAAAAAGAAAAGAAAAUACUAAACCGAAAAAGCCUACAGACCAGACCUACACAGACUGAGACUGAGAUGGUCUCAGCCAACAUUUACUUUCUGUUAUAGAGGACAAGAGGGAAAAGACCGACACCAAAAGGCUCGCCUCCGUGUUGGUCCCCACAAUUAACUUUCUUGGCCAUAUAAACAUAAUUUCGGUCUAUUUGUGCAUCGAAGUUAAAUGAUGAAACUAUUUUAAUUGCAAAGAAGAGAAGAAGUUUCAAAGACUAGUUAGUUAGAAAAGUCUUUUAACGAAUGUAUGAGAUCUUUGUGGUGGAGAAGUACGCACUAAUUAAAAACAAUACUUAACAUGUCAAAUUAUUUAACGAGAGCACUUGAUGAUUAGUUUCCUGAUAUUUUAUGUUUUAGAAAACGUAUAUGUAUUUGAUUUUGAUUUUUAUAAACUAAUACUCAGAUUUAAAUAAAACAAUGCAAUAUGAUGAUAUGUUUGGACAUAAAAUUUUUCUCUUUUGCUUAUCCACUUACUUGAAGUACGGCAAAAGAGUUAUACUGACCAGCAAUAUUCAUCGAAUAUAGACAGAAGAAAGAUCCAGUGAACAUGAUCGGACAAAGUAACGAGAACAUAUAAAUAAUUUAAAUCAAUCAAAUAUUACAUAGAAAGUGAUUAUUUAAUCAUGCGUGCUCCAACACCAGCAUUUGUAAUUCAAUUUUGAAUUUUUUUAUGUAUUGUAGUAGUCACGUGAAAUUCAAAUUAACACAUCUAUCAUGUUCUCUCUUUUGAUUUUGGCAUAUAUGGCAUCCAUUCUUUAGAGAGAUAGUGUGGGGUUACUUUUACGGUGGCCUGAUCUUUACAUAUAGCCCUAUAUAAUUCAACUAGCAGGUUCUUUCUUUUGUAAUUGAAUAUGAUCGGUUCCUCUGAUCAAACGGAUAAAGAAAACUAGAGAUUCAUGCCUCCUGGGUUUUUGUAUCUUGCUGCAGAGAUGACAAUGGAAUGUGAACAAUGGACAACAACAGUAUGAGAAUGGCAAUGGAACGUUGAGCCAUAUCUGUUUUUUUUUUUCAAUUAGAGAUUAAAACAAUGGCAAGCGUGUCAUGGGCAAUGCAUCGUGGACAUCAUGUCGUGGACAGAGUAGUGGACAUUAUUAUGCCAUGGAUAACACAACUUAGCAAGUGUUUCUAACAUAUUUAAUAUGCAAAAAUCAAAAGUGUGUACCAAAUAUGAGAAUCAAACGAGUCAUUCAAUCCUAAUGUUUGACACAAGCAGUACAUAUUUAGCUUAUAUUUACAAAAUACAUUUUUUUCUAGAGGCGUACAUCGUACACUGACCACAUCUUCUUUUUUUUUUUUUUGUAAACAACACUGACCACAUCUUCAUUAUGAUUUUAUUUUAAAAAAUAUAAUUUAUGCUAGUGUUUUGUAAGCAAACAUCAAUGCAUUCAGUCAUUGUCUUAAGCUGUAAAACACAUAAGCAUUGAUUUACCAAACUCUUGAUACCGUAGAGAAUAUCAAGAAACAGAAACAAUCUUGUAGAUAAUUUAGAAGAUGUGUUCUGACUUCAGGAAAGUUUUUUACAAGAUGGUAUAUUAAGAUGAAGUCUGUAAAAAUUCAAUGCUUCAAACUCUGAGAUCUAACACGAUGAAGAUGAACAUUUUAUAUUUUUAUACUAAUUCAUAUAACUAGAACGUUGAAUUAUUCAAAUUGUUGAGAGACAAGAUCCAAGAUACAAGAUAUAAGAUCCAAGAGAGAGAGAGAUUCAAGAUACAGUAUAACAGAUACAAGAUCAGAGAGAGAGAGAGAGAGAGAGAGAGGAGAGAGGGAGAGAGAGAGAGAGAGAGAGAGAGAGAGAGAGAGAGAGAGAGAGAGAGAGAGAGAGAGUCACUUUUGAAGAUUAUAGUAACAGAGAAAACCAAUGUUCAAAAACGCGGGCGAGUUACCGAGUAAUCAGCCGCAAAAAGGUGUUCGGAAGGCAACCGUAGCGAUUAUGAGCAGAUCGGAAAAAUUAUACGGUGACCUGAGUUUCAACUGUUUGAGCCGUAGAAUUCAAUAAGCCGGCGACUUAUAUUUUUCAUACAUGGCUUAGUUUGUGUUAGAUUUAUAAGAUUUUGGUGAUAAUUUGAAGAAAAAUGGCGAAAAAGCAACGAACAGGAUGUAUAAUGCAAGCGAUGGUCAUUUUAGGUUACAGCUUUUUUGCAGGGAAGAUGAUAAAAGCGAAAGUACCAGCGUAUCCUUUAUUAAUAAUACAAAAAUAAACAAAAUGUUGUGUACUUGGGUAUUGAUCCUGAAGCGCUUGACAAUCAAAGCAACACAAGACCACUGAGACAAGUCAUAUUCUUUCAAUAUCAUUACAAAUAAAUGAUAUUUAGCUACAAUAAGAUGAAAACCUUUGGAAAAAAAAUUCCCGAUUACUCCCCGAUUAAUCUCCGAGUUUUCAUCAACUCGCUAGGCCCAGACCGACCGCCGGAUUCACGCCUAGCGUAGUUUCGAAUAUGGGAGAAAACUAAUCAUGAAGAAACUUGUUGACAACCAAGAUGUGUAACUGAACAAACAAAAUAAGAAACUCCCGAUUUAUCUUCACGAGAAUUUGGAGACGAAAAGCUUUGUUGCAGCAACAAUUUUGUUUAGGGAAAUUUCAAUUUUAUCACAAGUUUGAUAAUAUUUUCAAAUUUAUUCUUAAAAUAUAUGCAUUUCCAUAAAUAUAUUAAACUUUUGAUUAAAAUAAUUUGAUUAAAUUUUUAAAAUCAUUUAUAAACAUUUAAUAAUACUUUAUAAAUCAUUUACUAGAUUUUGAUCCACGCUUUCUAAGCGCGGGUUUAAUUUUGGAAUUAAAUUAUUAUUAUUUUAAAUAAAUUUUUAUAAGAUAAUGUGGAUUCACAUAAAUAUUGGCAUAGAACCGCGAUUCGGACCGGACGUUUUCAAAACGCGGUUUAUUGUUUGAUUCAAUUGACAUAGAAUUAUUAAAUAUAUGUUAGACUAAAUUAUAUAUAUUUGGUUUAAAUAAACACUAUUGAUUUAUACGGAUUCGAGGAAUGUGUUCAAAUUUUAAAAUGAAAUUUGUAUAUUUAGUAGUAUAGAAAUUAUAAACUGGGGUAAAUAUAUAUAGAAACAAUUCUGGUCACAUUUAUUUAUAUGUAUAUUAACUAUCAAAAUACACAAAAAUAAAACAAAGUAUAUAAAAUAUUGUUACAUGUUUAAAUUCUGUAAUAAGUUGAUAACAAUGAAUUUAUUAAAUUACAAAAGUUGUGACAUACAUCACAACUUAUAUCUUUCUAUACUAUUAAAAGCAAAU